AGAGUUUGAUCAUGGCUCAGAUUGAACGCUGGCGGCAGGCCUAACACAUGCAAGUCGAACGGUAACAGGAAGCAGCUUGCUGCUUCGCUGACGAGUGGCGGACGGGUGAGUAAUGUCUGGGAAACUGCCUGAUGGAGGGGGAUAACUACUGGAAACGGUGGCUAAUACCGCAUAACGUCGCAAGACCAAAGAGGGGGACCUUCGGGCCUCUUGCCAUCAGAUGUGCCCAGAUGGGAUUAGCUUGUUGGUGAGGUAACGGCUCACCAAGGCGACGAUCCCUAGCUGGUCUGAGAGGAUGACCAGCCACACUGGAACUGAGACACGGUCCAGACUCCUACGGGAGGCAGCAGUGGGGAAUAUUGCACAAUGGGCGCAAGCCUGAUGCAGCCAUGCCGCGUGUAUGAAGAAGGCCUUCGGGUUGUAAAGUACUUUCAGCGGGGAGGAAGGUGUUGUGGUUAAUAACCACAGCAAUUGACGUUACCCGCAGAAGAAGCACCGGCUAACUCCGUGCCAGCAGCCGCGGUAAUACGGAGGGUGCAAGCGUUAAUCGGAAUUACUGGGCGUAAAGCGCACGCAGGCGGUCUGUCAAGUCGGAUGUGAAAUCCCCGGGCUCAACCUGGGAACUGCAUUCGAAACUGGCAGGCUUGAGUCUUGUAGAGGGGGGUAGAAUUCCAGGUGUAGCGGUGAAAUGCGUAGAGAUCUGGAGGAAUACCGGUGGCGAAGGCGGCCCCCUGGACAAAGACUGACGCUCAGGUGCGAAAGCGUGGGGAGCAAACAGGAUUAGAUACCCUGGUAGUCCACGCCGUAAACGAUGUCUACUUGGAGGUUGUGCCCUUGAGGCGUGGCUUCCGGAGCUAACGCGUUAAGUAGACCGCCUGGGGAGUACGGCCGCAAGGUUAAAACUCAAAUGAAUUGACGGGGGCCCGCACAAGCGGUGGAGCAUGUGGUUUAAUUCGAUGCAACGCGAAGAACCUUACCUGGUCUUGACAUCCACGGAAGUUUUCAGAGAUGAGAAUGUGCCUUCGGGAACCGUGAGACAGGUGCUGCAUGGCUGUCGUCAGCUCGUGUUGUGAAAUGUUGGGUUAAGUCCCGCAACGAGCGCAACCCUUAUCCUUUGUUGCCAGCGAUCCGGCCGGGAACUCAAAGGAGACUGCCAGUGAUAAACUGGAGGAAGGUGGGGAUGACGUCAAGUCAUCAUGGCCCUUACGACCAGGGCUACACACGUGCUACAAUGGCGCAUACAAAGAGAAGCGACCUCGCGAGAGCAAGCGGACCUCAUAAAGUGCGUCGUAGUCCGGAUUGGAGUCUGCAACUCGACUCCAUGAAGUCGGAAUCGCUAGUAAUCGUGGAUCAGAAUGCCACGGUGAAUACGUUCCCGGGCCUUGUACACACCGCCCGUCACACCAUGGGAGUGGGUUGCAAAAGAAGUAGGUAGCUUAACCUUCGGGAGGGCGCUUACCACUUUGUGAUUCAUGACUGGGGUGAAGUCGUAACAAGGUAACCGUAGGGGAACCUGCGGUUG
rnacentral:rRNA from 1 species